AAAGAAGUAAAAAAUUACAUUUAGUUUCGACCUAAAUAAAGGAUUAUUAUCCCAUGUUUU
rnacentral:tRNA from 1 species